rnacentral:misc_RNA from 1 species
GAUGAAGAACGUAGCGAAAUGCGAUAAGUAAUGUGAAUUGCAGAAUUCAGUGAAUCAUCGAAUCUUUGAACGCACAUUGCGCCCGCCAGUAUUCUGGCGGGCAUGCCUGUUCGAGCGUCAUUUCAACCAUCAAGCCCCCGGCUUGUGUUGGGGACCUGCGGCUGCCGCAGGCCCUGAAAACCAGUGGCGGGCUCGCUAGUCACUCCGAGCGUAGUAAUACAUCUCGCUCAGGGCGUGCUGCGGGUUCCGGCCGUUAAAUGAAAAGCCUUCGUAGCCCAAGGUUGACCUCGGAUCAGGUAGGAAGACCCGCUGAACUUAAGCAUAUCAAUAAGCGGAGGA